GGUAACCUAGGGUUGCCAUGGAGACAGGUUUUCCGGCUGUGCCUGUAUCAUGAAACUUCACUGAGUUGCUUCUCAUCUGCAGCUGAACGCCUGGAUAUUGAGGGAAGAGGGUCAUGCACAAAUCCCAGACACAUUCUGAAAGAGAACAAAGCUGUGGCAACAGGAGACUCACCAAGCCCUUUCCAUCGAUGGACCUCAAAGUCCCAUUUGUGCCUAAGGAGAGCAAUCUGGGGACAGAAGUGGCUUCUGAGCACCUACGGAAGAUAUGGGAAAACUGCCGCAUUCCCCAGCCCUAGUCAUCUUUCAAGGUCCAUCCUUUCCGCAAAGCUUUCUCUGAUCCUAAUGAGAAAAAAAAGACAAAAAGACUGCAUAUCCCUCCCUCCCGCCAAGUAUGUCUGCUUGCGAUGUGGUAUUGCGGCUCUUCCCAUCAAAGGGUGGAGUUUCCUCCUCCACCUCUUGAAUCUCAGGCUGGACCACCUGGCUCAUUUUGGCCAAUGGAACAUUAGCAAAUGUGACUCAGGGAGGGGCUGGAAGAGUGUCUGUGCAUCAGGGCUUUCUCUCUCCUGCUGCUAGGAAACUCAUUUUUUCCCCCAGGAGAGUGAGGCCAGACUAUGCACCUGGAGGACAACACGUCAUACAGAGAGAAGUCCCCACUGUCCCAGCCAUCCCAGACAGGUGUGUGAGGCCAUCCCAGGCCACCCAGCAUACUGAGCCGACCCCAAAUGGAAGAGCCGCCUGGCCACCACAGAACUGUGAGAAAUAAGAAAUAGGCGUCUUCUGAGCCACUCAGUUUUGGAGUGGUUCGUUACGCAGCAAAACAAACUGAAGAGCCAACUGGUCACAUUUCCCCAUCUUGGAAUCUCUCUCCUUUUUUGAAUCCCCAUGGUAUUUUAUCUAUUUUUCAUUAGACAUCUGUUACUUUCUGUAUUUUCUCACAAUCGCUUAUGGAAAUGCUUACCGUCUACGGGAGAAUAAGUUUCUUGAGAGUUGAAUUCACGCUUGAUUCAUUUUUGUACUUUGCCUGCUCCCACAGUGUCUAAGUACACCCUGACAUGGAGCAAGCACCCAGAGCGUUCGCAGAGUGAAUCGGUGAAGGAGGAGCAUGACGGGACAGUGAGUUAAGAACACAGAUUUUGGAACGCCUGGGUUAAAACCCCAGCUCUUCUACUUCUUCACUCUCUCUCCCUGGACAAGUUAUUAAGCCAUUUUAUUUUGCCUCAGUUUCCUCACCUAUAAAAGGGGGAUAAUAGCAGAACCUACAUCAUAGAGUUGUUAUAAGGAUUUAAUGAGUCGACGUAAGUUGUUUGUUAAAUAAAUAAAUGAGAGGCAUCCA
rnacentral:lncRNA from 1 species